CUUAAGAAGUUGAAAUACCUUUACCUUUAUAAGAAUGAAAUUCAAAGCAUUCAGCCACAGGCUUUCGAGGGGCUGCAUUCUCUGGAACAGCUUGUCACGUAUCUGGCCAUAUGCAUUUACAAUCAAUCAGGACAUUAAAGAGACUGAAGACCCCCAUCUGCUUUCAAUUGUAGGAACAGGUUUUGAUUCAGAUCCUUUGGCGUUCCUGAAAGAACUCCAUCCCUUUGCUCAAAUCCAUCUUGUAAAACUAUGAGCCGCUUACGGGAGGACCCAAGGUGUCUUUUUGGAUUGCAAUGGGAUUUUGCAAGAAUGCUUGAAUGCCUUGCCUUGAAUGCCUUGCCACCCGCCCUGAAUGCCUCCACUGUUUUGAGAGCCAUGUUAUACAGCUCUCUUUUUUACACAUCCGAGUCAACGGGAAAGGAAUUGUCCUUCUAUUCAGUCUCAUCCUGUUUAAAAUACUUUACCAUGUGUCUAAAUGCAUCAGAAGGGUUGAGAAAACUCAAGAGAGCUGAAUGUGCUACGUUCCUGGCUAGAGAAACUAAACAAUUGUGUUGGAAUCGAAGCGGCUGUCCAGAAUAAUUAGGCAUCACGGAAGAUGGGAAAGACUAACAGAGCUAUUGCAGGCUAGAUAGCAGCUGUUUUUUUCAGGGUCUGCAGUAGCAACGUGGCAGGGAGAAAUUCAGUUGCUUUGGGAAAGGGGUUUUUCACCAACAGAGAAAACUAUGCCCACUGAAUUUCUACCUUUCUUGUCGCCAAUUAAGAUUCCCACCCACCACAUAUGGCUUAUUCCUGCUGUCUAUUGUGGCACUUCCCAAAUUUGUAAUCGCUGAGGUGUAUCACUUUUUUUACAAUUACAGUUAGAGACAGAAUUCCCUAUAACACCAAGGGUUUUUUUGUGGGGAGCUUGUAAGAGAAAAUAUGGAUUAUUUUCGGAGGAUCCUCUGUGGCUCAUCUUAACUUGAGCUGACGUUGGGGCAGGAAGGAACUCAUGGGAGCUCUCUCAAGGGACAAGUUUGCAGUCUUUGUAUCAGGAAAGAAGGAAUGAUACAGAUAAGAAGGAAGAAAGGAUUAUGGAAUACUGUAAAACAGAAGAGGGGUCCAUCUCUGCAAGCUAAUCUUUCUGGUUCAUGACAAACUUUAGUGGGAGUUCCCCAGCAUAGUGCUCCCCAAACAUGUUGAAUCUGCAACUUUCAAAAUUCCCUACUAUUGCCCUAGCUACGAAUUCUGGGAAUCAGGAGUGUCUGCUGCAGGUCAAAAAAGUCAGGAUGGAGUCUGCAACCCACAUGCGUGAAGUCAUGCCCCUUUCUUGUGUGCAUCACCCAAUAAAGUUGAAUCCUGGAAAAAUCAGGACAGACAGAAGGACAUUUUUUUUACACAAUGCACAAUUCAGCUUUGGAAUCUGCUACCUUGAGAGGGGGUGCUGGCUACCAGCUUGGCUGGCUUCCGAAAAGGGUUGGAGCCAUUCCUGGAAGUCCUGGGGAUCCAUGGACCUUAGCCUUGAUGGCAAUGGGGCUGCCUCUGAAGGCCAUCUGCUGGUGGGCUUCCUUGGACAGUUGGUUGGCCAUUAGGAGAACAGCCUGCUGGACUAGAUGGGCCAGGGGGCCGAUCUAGCAGGGUAUGGCUUACGUUCUUGUGUUAUGAUCACACAGUCAUGGCCUACAUCUUUGUUUUUGGACCCACCCCCAUGGACUCCCCAGCUGGAAUUGCUAAGCCAACAGAUCACGUGGGCACCAGAUUACUUUUCCUAUAUUGCUUGCAGUUUGGAAAUUAAUUAUCUAUUCUGUUUCUUUGUUUUAUCCCUUUUCA